rnacentral:rRNA from 1 species
AGGGAAUAUUGGGCAAUGGAGGCAACUCUGACCCAGCCAUGCCGCGUGCAGGAAGACGGCCCUCUGGGUUGUAAACUGCUUUUGAAUGGGAAGAAUGUGUGGCUUGCGAGCUAUAAUGACGGUACCAUUAGAAUAAGCCACGGCUAACUACGUGCCAGCAGCCGCGGUAAUACGUAGGUGGCGAGCGUUAUCCGGAUUUAUUGGGUUUAAAGGGUGCGUAGGCGGCUUAAUAAGUCGGUGGUAAAAGGUAGCAGCUUAACUGUUUUACAUGCCAUCGAUACUGUUGAGCUUGAGUUAUUUGGAGGCAGCUAGAAUUUCCGGUGUAGCGGUGAAAUGCAUAGAUACCGGAAGGAAUACCGAUUGCGAAGGCAGGUUGCUACGAAUAUACUGACGCUGAUGCACGAAAGCGUGGGGAUCAAAC